UUCGGGGAUCACACGAUACUUCUAUUCGCUGGCGUUGCGGUCCCAUGCGAACGAGUUUCCCCUUUGCUUCUUUUGCCGUCCGAAAUGAAAUUAUAGGGAGAUUUUGUUGUACCUUGAAUCGCUGAUGUGCCUUGCUUCCUUGCAUACAAAGUGUUCGUUGAAACGUGCAUGAGAAUCUGCUCGACAAGGUGAGUAGAAUUAUUCGAUGAAAUGCCUGAUUUUGUUGUGUGGUUGAAAUUCUUUACAGUGAGUCCUCCAGGAUGGUUAAUCUUGUUCAUUUGAGUUGGGACACUAAUCUCACCAGUUGCUUCUCGUCUCAUAAAAUGGAUCUGUAAUAUGUUAUCUGAGAUCAUAUGGAAGUGAUAAAUCAACAGGUAGUUUCCAAUUUCCAUUGUCUACCUGUUUUGUUAUCAUGCAAACUAGAGUGCACAAGUCUUUUCACAUUUGUCUGUAGAAUGCAAGGAGCAGGCUCAUUCUCUGGCUUGUUUCGCAAGAUGUGAGGGUGUAACUCAUAAGCGGCAUUGGUGACUUGCCCAGUUACCAUGAUCUUAUAAGUAUUUUUGUACUCUCUUGAUUAAUUUCAUAAUAUAGUCUUUGUGUAAAAAAAAAGGUCUCUUUACUCUGCAAAUAUUAGUAUUUUUUUCAACGUCUUGCGAGUGAUGCGGGAUGAGACCUGAUGAGCCGGUAAAACUGAGAAGGAGAUAUAUAUGUAUAUGUACUAAAGGAUGAAUUUUCUAGAUAUACAUGCCUCUUGUUUGAUUCACAAGCUGCUGCUUUAUGAUUGUUACUUGUCAGUUUAUUACGGUAUCAUGUUAAGAUUCAUUCAUUUUUCACAUGAAGACAGUAUGCAGAUGUUAGCUCUAAUAACCUUUUGAAGGCAAAAGAACAGCACACUUUGACUCCGGAAACAUAUAUUAUCUCAGACUUCAAUGAUUUCAUCUCUCAGGGCCAACUAUCCAUUCCCGAAAGGAUUCACAAGUUUAUUGUUGCUGGGGCUUCUUCAGCUGGCUUCUGGGCGUAUGGGAGCACAAGCCAAAGACUACUGAGUACAUAAUGGCACUCGUCCUCAUUAGAGAUGUUCUCUUGACCCUUGUUCAGAAACAGAGUAUGCUUGAACUCCUCACAACACCUCCAUCUCCAAGACAAAAGUGGUGGAACUCAACAAUGACAUUGUUGUACUCUGCAUGUUAACUACUUUUAGCUAGCCUAGACACUCACACGUUGUGUGUAUUUAGGUGCUCACAAAUGGGCUCUUUCUCAGAGGAACAGUGAACCAAAUUGAUGCAAAUGGUUUUGGAAUGAGUACUUCCUAAACAAUUUUUCACAUACAAUGAUGUACUUGAGACUUGAGAAAUUCUUGAUUUCACAAACCUGGUCAGAAAUGUUGUUCCUUGCUUGGAAGAACCUGCAAAGCUUCUUUUUGCUUUCAUCUAAUGUGACUCCUCCUUGAUAACCUCCAUAACAUUACAAGGAGAUCCAAAUGGAUGGAUGUACAAGUUCUUCAACAAGAAUAUAAAUUGGCAAUAUGGUUUGACUUUUCCUUUUUCUUUUUUCUACCAUUGGUGUUCUGAGG